rnacentral:lncRNA from 1 species
UGCCAACUGUGGGGGGAAUAAAGUUGCUUAGCAACGUGGAAAUGGGAGAAGCUAUAAGGCUUCCCAGUGGAAGUUUUAUUAGAUGUCUAGUCCACUGUCUUAAUAAGAAACCACCAUGAAGUUUUUAUGUUCUUCAAAGAUUACACAUUUCAAGUUUCAUUUAUCUAUGGGAGAAUGAAUUACUUUCAACACAUUUAUGUCUGAGUUUGUUUAUUGUUCUGAUUUACUGAAACUUAAAAUAUUCCAUCAAAUUAUCCAGGAAAAUCCAGGUGGCAGAAAUAUAUAAUAUGUCCAUUUCAUCAAGAGGUCUCAAAUAAAUUUUAAAAGGCCAGAAAAUGAUAUAUAUACUAUGCCAUUUAAAUCACUUCUAUCUUCUGUACUUAAGAACUCAAGUAUAGAAAUAAACUGUGGGCUGAAGUAACAUUUUAACCUGCUCCCAACAUGACUGCAUAGGUGUCUAAGGUUAAGUGUGAAGAUUACUGUGAGGUCUCAAGUUACUUGACUAAUCAAUCCCAUUUGAAUUUCAAUCCAAGCAGCAUAUUUUACACACACCUGAAGGAAAUAUCUUCGGGGAUAGGUGUAAUUAGGGAAGGGCUGACCGAACAACAUUGACAAGUACAUGCUAGAAGUCUGCUGUUGUUGGUAAUACAGAAACAUACACAGUCUUCAUAUUCAAAGUCUUCACGGGGAUGUCUUCUGUAAUUUCUAGAAUG